AAAGCCUCCCCCAAGGCCCCAAAUCCACACUAGAAUACAACCUCCUUCCUAGGAGGAGCACAGGCGAGGGAGGGCCGGCUCUAUGGUCCUGCAUGAAGGUACAAGAGGCGAGGGUUGGAGGUGUGUGACUCACACAGGCUGGUCAGAGGCCCCGGAGUUCAGCCUCUGUCGGGUAUUUACCUACCCAUCACCAGCCGCUGACUACGUGCUCACUGUGUACCAGGGACCUGGCCAAGGGCUUCACGUGUAAUCUCAUUUAAUUCUCACAAGAGAUGCAGAGAGGUGACGUGACUCAUCAGGUGACAUGACUCACCAGGUCACCUAGCUGGUAAGGGAUGGAACUGGGUUGUGCAUAGAGGCCUAUCUGUGUCCACAGGCAGGCUCCCAGCCACCACCCUCCAGUUCCGUGGCCCUGCUCUGGGACGUGGGAAGAUAAGAAAGAAGAAGGGCUCCAGGACUCAGCUGCUCCUCGUUGUCCCACCUACUGGUCCCACCUACUUUGCUCUCUCCCAGGCCUGGCUGUGGACCUGGCCCCUCCCAGCCUCCAGGAUCUGAGGGAAACAGCUGGCUCCCCUCCUCACCACACCCCGGCGGCCAUUCUCUUGGACCCCUCCCAAGGGUACCACCUAGCCCUGGGGCCUUAUCUCUCAGGAUCUGUCCCUCAGGGACUAGUCAUCACCUCUGUCCACCUCCUUCCCUUCAGCCGCCUACCUGCCCACACAGUAACACCUGAAUAUCUUCUUUCAACCUGAUCCCAGGCACAAUAUCAUAAUACAAAUAACAAUGAUGGCAAUAAUAAUGGCAGCUGUCACUCAUUUGGCAUCAUUUAAAUAGAGGCACAGAGAGGUUAAGUUAUGCCCUUAAGAACAAACAGCCAUCUCAUUCAAUUAAGCUGGUGUCUGAAUUUAGGUUGGGCUUCUGUAAAUCAAACUUCUUUGGUGUCCAGAGAUUCAGCGCCCUCCCCUGCAGCCUCCUACAACGGUCCUAGUCCCAACCAUCAGUUCUAAUUUUUGACUUCUAAUCUAUCCUCCUCUCAGCUUCUAGUCACCACCUCCCACCAACAGCCAUCCAACUAGAUGCACUACUCUCCCUCGCCACUAGGUGUCCCCUUGGAGCCACUGAUGCCCCCAAGGGGAGCUGGCCCUGCCCCGCCCCCUGGGGCCAUCAGGGCCCCCCCACAGCACAGCACAGCAGUGCACACCCCACCCCACCCUACCCCCAGCCACACAGAGCUCCUUUGUGCAACCCUCGCCCACCCCCUUCCUCCCUGGAACAGGGCACCUGGCAAGCAGGUCUGCCCCAGAACCGCCCCCUGCCAGCCCCCUGCCCUGGGUGCCAGGUGUGUGGGCGCCACCGCCAGCUCUGGCUGGACCCGAGGGUCACCCUGCCGGCGGCCCUCCCUUCCUCCCUCCGAGGUCACCCAGGGACUAAGCUUCCCGCCCUGCUCCGCCCCCCUCCCCUCCUGCCCUUGGCCCUUCCAGACUCCCGUCCUUGUCUUUCCUUCUGUCUCCCGGAGGACUCCCCUCCUCCAGCCCCACUAGGCCUUCCCUGCAGCCUCUCACCCCCGCCCACCUCCUUCCCCAGAGAGCUCCUUGUUCCACGCCCCCCCGCUCCCCGCCCAGGUCUGAAGAACUCCUCCUCCUGGAAAGUUGCUGCUGGAAAGGAAGUGACUUCAGCAAUUUGGCCACAAGGCUGGGCACUGCUGAGCCCAGCUCAGCUCAAGGCUUGCCCAACCCACCUCCAAAGCACAAAUGGAGCCACAUGUGCACAUCACUCCCACUGUGCACCCAGAACCCUGAGCACACACUUAGCCAGUGUACACACAGAUCCCCGUGUGCAUACACCGUACCAUCGCAGUGUAUUCAGAUCUUGUCUAUACACACAUCUCUCCAGUGUACACUAGCACCCUUGCACACAUGACAUCCAGUGUGGCACACACAGUAUCCCCACACCUGCCCAGUACACACCCAGAAUCCUGCAUAUUCAUACUUCCGGGUACCACAUACACAGCCCUUGAACGCUCCCCAGCCCAGUCCACUUACACAACUCUUGUAUAUUACCCCAUGUGCACGGAAGGACAGAGCCUUCCACACACACCUGCUUGCACACAAGCUUGAGUGCCCUGUACAUUUACAUUCGGAUACACACAGCCUCGCAUCCUCCCACAGCUGUACCUCCCCACCCUUACAAUCCCAGGAGACUCCACCCCCAGACCUCAGGCCCCAGGAAUGCUCCUUUGGAAGUAGGGUGGGGUCCCCAGGCAGGCUCAGCUCUAGGGAGCUUCCUGGAGCCGCAGGCUUCAUGUGUCAGUUCAGGGAGUUGCCUCUGCAGGGCAGGGCAGCUUCACCUGGCUCUGCAGCUCCUGAGCCUGGGUGGGCUAACCUGGGCCAGGAGUAGGGAGGUGGGUCCUGCCACUGCCCCCGCCCCCUCCCUGUCCUGCAAGGGCACCUUAGCAUACCUGGGCUACCCAGGCCCUCCCAGCACC
rnacentral:lncRNA from 1 species